ensembl:misc_RNA predicted gene, 27588
UAUGUAGAAAUGUACUUUUUUCAGAGUUCCAAAAGAAUUUAAUAUUUUCAGUUUAAUUUGGUAAGGUAAAGAGACAAUUAGUGACACGUAGGAAUAAAAUGUGUUCUUUCACAUGGAAAUGGGAAUAUAAUAAAUGUCCUGCAGGUGAUUGGACCCAUCGCAAUUUUACUGAAGAUUAAAGUUUGACUGACCUUUGUUAGGGUGAUUAACCUUUCUGAAAUUAAAAACUCCAUCUGAAUUAGUCUGUCUAAUUUAAAUGCAAA